UGGCGGGACGGGGUGGAGUAAUGUCUGGGAAACUGCCUGAUGGAGGGGGAUAACUACUGGAAACGGUAGCUAAUACCGCAUAACGUCGCAAGACCAAAGAGGGGGACCUACGGGCCUCUUGCCAUCGGAUGUGCCCAGAUGGGAUUAGCUAGUAGGUGGGGUAAAGGCUCACCUAGGCGACGAUCCCUAGCUGGUCUGAGAGGAUGACCAGCCACACUGGAACUGAGACACGGUCCAG
rnacentral:rRNA from 1 species